rnacentral:other from 1 species
AAGUACCUAAAGUUAAAGGUCUAUGUCCAAUAAAACCGACUGGAUAGAUAAUAAGGGAGUCUAAUUGAAUUAUGGUGUAGAAGACUUAUCCAUUAAGUGAAUAAGAAUCCUAAAAUGAUUCAUGUGAUGCCCACCUGCUCGGAGCGGGUUUUUAUCAAACAAGGCUUUUCUUUAGGUUUUUA